AACGCGUGGGUAAUCUCCCCCCGAAUUGGGGAUAACAUCGCGAAAGCGAUGCUAAUACCGGAUAAUAUCUUAAAAACCUCGGUUUUAAAGAUCAAAGGUGGCCUCUACAUGUAAGCUUCUGUUUGGGGAUGAGCCCGCGUACCAUUAGCUUGUUGGUAGGGUAAUGGCCUACCAAGGCUACGAUGGUUAGCUGGUCUGAGAGGAUGAUCAGCCACACUGGAACUGACACACGGUCCAG
rnacentral:rRNA from 1 species